AUUGAACGCUGGCGGCAUGCCUUACACAUGCAAGUCGAACGGUAACAGGUUAAGCUGACGAGUGGCGAACUGGUGAGUAAUGUAUCGGAACGUGCCCAGUCGUGGGGGAUAACUGCUCGAAAGAGCAGCUAAUACCGCAUACGACCUGAGGGUGAAAGCGGGGGAUCGCAAGACCUCGCGCGAUUGGAGCGGCCGAUAUCAGAUUAGGUAGUUGGUGAGGUAAAGGCUCACCAAGCCGACGAUCUGUAGCUGGUCUGAGAGGACGACCAGCCACACUGGGACUGAGACACGGCCCAGACUCCUACGGGAGGCAGCAGUGGGGAAUUUUGGACAAUGGGCGCAAGCCUGAUCCAGCCAUGCCGCGUGCGGGAAGAAGGCCUUCGGGUUGUAAACCGCUUUUGUCAGGGAAGAAAAGGUUCUGGCUAAUACCUGGGACUCAUGACGGUACCUGAAGAAUAAGCACCGGCUAACUACGUG
rnacentral:rRNA from 1 species